UUGGAAACGCAAUAACACGUGAUUAUCUGUGGUGUGGCCAAUGUCAGCUGAUGUACAAUAGAAUCUCUCUGUAUUUUGUAUACGAUUGAUUGAUUACAAAAUUGCUUCACUUAGAAGCUUUAUUUGCAAAUUUUAGUCUGCUUUUACGAAGAGUAUAUAAUGGCACUUCAUUCCGCAGGAAAAGGAAAACUUCUAGCAGUGAUUGGCGAUGAGGAUACCUGUGUGGGUUUUUUGCUGGGUGGAGUUGGAGAGAUCAAUAAACAUCGCCAGCCUAAUUUUAUGGUUGUCGAUAAAAACACAGCGAUAAGCGAGAUAGAAGACACAUUCAAGCGUUUUAUCAAGCGUGAUGAUAUCGAUAUCAUUCUUAUUAAUCAGAAUGUAGCAGAAAUGAUUCGUCAUGUAAUUGACAGUCACACUCAACCAAUACCUGCUGUACUAGAAAUUCCGAGCAAAGAUCAUCCAUACGACGCCAGCAAAGAUUCCAUUUUAAGACGCGCUAAGGGAAUGUUCAACCCAGAAGAUAUACAUUAAUAUAAAUGUGGCAUUGUUGGAAUUAUACACUAUGUAUAUACAGUUAAACAGAAUUAUUCGAUUGAUUAUCUGAAACUGUUGUAUUACUGGUGACAUCAAAAUUAAUGAAAUUCGGGAGAACGAGGAAGAUGAUUCGAGAAUGAGCACAAUGAGUUUUUCGAGUUUUAUUUAAUACAACGAUUUCAUAAAGACUGGAAGCUUCGACCAGCACAAAGUCUGCACAUUUCAAAAUCGUAAUGGUCAGAGAGAAAAGAGUAGGGACAUGCAUAUGUAGUACAAAUACAUUGUGAUUGUGCAAUUGUA